CCUACGGGUGGCUGCAGUGAGGAAUAUUGGUCAAUGGGCGCAAGCCUGAACCAGCCAAGUCGCGUGAGGGAUGACGGUCCUAUGGAUUGUAAACCUCUUUUGUCGGGGAGCAAGGCCCGCCACGUGUGGCGGGAAGGAGAGUACCCGAAGAAAAAGCAUCGGCUAACUCCGUGCCAGCAGCCGCGGUAAUACGGAGGAUGCGAGCGUUAUCCGGAUGUAUUGGGUUUAAAGGGUGCGUAGGCGGACUGUUUAGUCAGCGGUAAAAGCCCGGGGCUCAACCCCGGCGAGCCGUUGAAACUGGCUGUCUUGAGAUGGCGUGAGGUAUGCGGAAUGCGCAGUGUAGCGGUGAAAUGCUUAGAUAUUGCGCAGAACUCCGAUUGCGAAGGCAGCAUACCGGCGGCGAUCUGACGCUGAGGCACGAAAGCGUGGGUAUCGAACAGGAUUAGAUACCCGGGUAGUC
rnacentral:rRNA from 1 species